UACGGGGGGGGCAAGCGUUGUUCGGAAUUACUGGGCGUAAAGGGCUCGUAGGCGGCCAACUAAGUCAGACGUGAAAUCCCUCGGCUUAACCGGGGAACUGCCUCUGAUACUGGUUGGCUUGAAUCCGGGAGAGGGAUGUGGAAUUCCAGGUGUAGCGGUGAAAUGCGUAGAUAUCUGGAGGAACACCGGUAGCGAAGGCGACAUCCUGGACCGGUAUUGACGCUGAGGCGCGAAAGCCAGGGGAGCAAACGGG
rnacentral:rRNA from 1 species